UUUGGGAUAGUUCAGUUCGUAGUGCAUGAGACUCUUAAUCUCAGGGUUGUGGGUUUGAGCCCCAUGUUUGGCAAAA